UCUGAUCCCCAAAUUAUUCCGGGGGCUCAGAUUGGUGUGAAUGGGACGAGAAGGUCACUUGAAAUCGCCUUUUAUCCGCUGGCUUUUUUUUCCUAUGGAUCAGCAACUUUCAAUAGACAUAAUCUAAUCGCUCUUAAUGGAAAUGCUAUUCCUGAGAAAUAGUGGAUAUAUCGUUGAGCUUAUACAGGCUACCGACGUAUUUAACAGGCAACAAGAGUUCACAAAAUAGCAUGGUUAUUAAUUAUUACUGGAAACUGAAAAGUGUCUCCCCCAAACAGGGAAGGUUUACAUAUCCGUUCAAAACAAACAAUCUAUUCAUGCGUAUUUCUGGUAGAUAACUUAAAUCGUGUUUCAAUUAACCUGUUCAUUUCUAUAUUAUUUCAUCAUAAUAGUACGUUUUUAUAUUUUUCUAACUUAUUUACAUAAGUUAUAUUUUGGCCCUCAAUGGACUCUAGUUUAACUGUAAAAUGGCAUUACCCCACAGUGCGAAUCAUCUUAGUUUGUAUGGAGAUAUCAUUGUCUAUUCCCUCGUUAUUUUUAAUAUUGCUUCGCCUCUCAAGAGAUUUGAGAUCCUUCAGUUUUAGACGUGAUGAAUGAAUGUCUCUUUCCAGGAUUUUUGCAUCCCAGACUAUAAUUGAGGACAAUAACUGCAAUGACUUUCCCAAUUAGGCUUGAGGUUGGAGUUAAGUUAGAGGGACUGUCAGUUUAAGCUAUGGGCAAUGGCUUUAUUGCUCACUAACCAUCAUUUCUUUAGAGCCCAUGUGCUAAUUACUUUGGAUGGUCCCAGAGACGGAGAUUAUAAAUCCAUUAGCACCCAAACCCUCGUGGUUCCACAGUGCAAACACUGUAAUUUUGUACUACACCAAAAAACCAAACUUUAAGUACCAGAAGCGAGAUGAAGGGAAACAGAUUUUCAGCAGCGCGUGUAGAUACUUCUAACAUAUCCACUGUGAAGGGAAGUCUAGCAUAUAUCAUCAGCAGCUAAACCGAAACACACACAGUAAACCAAGCAGAACUGAAAAUUAACUGACAGGGGAAAAAUGCCUAAUCAGUGGCCGGUGGUUAAGUUUAAAACAACCUGUUUAUAUUACUGUGUCAACUUAAUGCAGCAUUGUGACCAUAAAUAAUCAACACAACACACGUAUACAACUGUGGUUUCUAUUUUUCUGCAAGUUUGAAAAAUAUUUUUUUUCUCAUUCCGAAGGUGCAUGCGAAGUGUCCAGGGAGCGACGCAACCUAAAGGAGUAGAGUGAAUUAAAAAUAAGAAGACAUAAUACCCGUUUGACUGCGUUUAAAGUAGGCAAUAGAAAAACCGUGACCCAAAAGGGGGUACGUGAAGGCAUCACCCCCUUAAAGUAAUUUAUUUCAGGGAAACCGGAGGGCAAAGGUGGAAUUCUUGAGAAAUUCAACAAGGAUAAGGGAGCUUUAAGAAUUCUGCACGCAGAUUACCUUUCAUCCCAUUCUCACAUUAUCCGACAACACACAGUAGAAAUAUAGCUCAGCGACAAAAGAGCGAGAUUACCCUCCGACACAGAGGAGUGCAAAACAUUUUUUUAAAGAAUUAUUGCGAUUGUUAGGGGGGCGAACGAUGAGAGCGAGAGAGAGAGAGAGAGCGAGAGAGAGAGAGAGAGAGAGGGGGCAGGAGAGAGAAAGAGGGGGAGUGAAGAGAAGAGUAAUUCUCUGUGUGCUUUCAAAGGGGGAGACACAAAAAAUGCUCGCCGUUCAGAAAGUGUCCUGUCAUUGUGGUGGUGUUAUAGUGGACGGUCAAUCCAGCUAAAAAGAGUUUACCCGUAGAUAUUUGUGGUGAGUAAAUUACCAUAAAAAACAAUAUGAAUCUGAGCAAAGAUGAGUGAGGAACUAAUUAGUUCUCUUUUGGUGACACACUUUGUUUACACUGUUGGUUCUGAUGCCUGCAAUGAUUACUGACACAGGGUCAGAGUUGUUGCCCCUUUUGGUUUACCUUGUUUGGUUGUUUAACUUUUGGUUUGCAACUACAGUAAAUGAGCGGCAUCACAUCACCACUGCAUUAUUUUUUUCUUCAUUUCCCCCCCAAAAACCAACACACAGCAGGGGCUUAAUUAGAAAUGUAGUGUAGCUGAACCAUCAACAUGCUGGAGCUGAGAAUGACUGAGCACACUGGUGCAGUCUCAGUAUAGAGAAAACAGAAAAUAAUUUCCCCACAAACUCUCAGAGGCAGUUUGAGUGAAACACAUAUUUAUUCAUUUACAUUUGGCAACCUUGAAAACAUUUUAUGUCAUGAAUUAUACUGUGUGGGGCAUGAAGCUGCAAUCAAAUUUUUACUUUAAUUUCAACCCACAUUCAAAACUGUGACAUUGGAUUUAUUAACAUUCUAAAACAUAGCACAGAUUAGCUCAAACAGCAACUGUAUUUUUUAAUAUAUCACACAUUUAUAUUUGAAAACACUUUUAAAAAUAAUAUUCAAACCAAAAAUGCCCCUGUGUUUCUCACACCCACAAACAUGGACAAAUCCCACUUGACAUUUUGUGUAUUUUCAUUUGAAAGGUGUGUGUCUGUUACACAUGUGUGUAAAAAGACAGAGAAGUGAAGGUGGCCUGUGUUUAGUGUCCAGACCCGGCAGAUUGUGACCUUAUCAAUGUGAAACUCUUAAGAUAAAUUAUUCAUAGCACCUGUUUGAUGUCUCUGGCCAAAGAAUGACAAAGGUGUAAGAUUUAAGAUCCAUCUAAAAAGCCAUGAAUAUCAGACGCUGUGCUACCUGUCUCUUUGUUAGAGCAGAAAAGAGGGAGUUAGGCUGCAUUUUAAACCACAAAAAUGAACAAUUUGUCUCCUCACAGGGGGUGUAGAGGAGAGCGACCAGAGAACAGCAUUAUAUACGAUAGGCUGAGAGCAACAGGGCGGCCGGGAGUUCGGAAACACAGCGGGACGUGUCGGUUUGGUGCAAGGACUGACACUGGGAUGAGAUGUAAUUUAUGAAUGCUACCACCUGUGUCUUUAGGGGGGAAAAGGGGGGUAAUGGUAUUCCUCUUCGGGAGGCUGGUUAAGGUAAGUGGCACCCUCUAUUACAAUGACAAGGCAAAUGAUGGUUCUGCUUGUUGUGUUUCUGCAUUAACGUUUUGUUUUUCAUGGAAUGACCCCGACUUCCUAAGCAUCACCACCCUCCAUCAGAGCUCUAGCUACAAGUCACUGCUGUAAAAACACACAGUCACUAUCGAUGAACGUCAACAGAGCAACAACAGUGCCACAAAGGAGCCUGGAGACCAACAAAGCCGGAUGGUACGAGUGGAUCAUGCUCUUGAACUUGCUUUCAUAAUGAUGUAAUAUUACUAAAAGGCAAUGCAACACAGAAACGAUCUCAAUAAAAACACAUCAAUCUCAAUAUAUGUGCGUAUGUGUUUGUUUUUUUUCUUCACUCCCAGUUGAAUUGUGAUAUAAUUUGAUAACGGCUGCUAUGUGAUUCAUUGGAGGGUACAGCUGCUUCACAUGGAUCUUGGCCUGGACAGGACUGUUUCCUCACAGGGCAGCUGAUCACAUGACUCAAUCACACGGAUAGAUCCGAGCUCUAAUUGGCCGUGCACUAGCGCAUCGCUGUGGGGAAUCUGGGUGCUUGUAUACAGCUUUCUGCUUUGAAUAGUAAAAUGGUCGGUUGUGUUCUGUCUUCCUCGGCAAGAGGGCAGUGAGUUCCACGUACAUCUGUGGGUGGGGGACUUCUAGACUAAGGGCUGCUGCUACAAUGAUGUACAAUGCAAAAUAAUUUGUUAUCACUAGGAUAAUGCGCACAAAUCUGCAAUUGAAUGAAAAAAAUGCAAUGCCAUAGCGAAGCUGUGCAGUUGGGAUGGCAAGAAAGGAGUGGAAUAAGUGGUUUCAAUAUAUAUGUACAUUACUGAUUUGUCUCUCUUUCUCCCUCCACCUCAUGGCCCCCGUUUCUCCCUCCAUUCAUUCACAUUCAAGUUAUGUCCAUGCAUUAGUGACCAGUUGGCUCCUUGUGUGUCCAUUGUAAAUAAAUAAUAAAGCUCUCCUAUCACUGUCAUCACCGUCAGCCAUCAGCUUGGUGUGGUUGAAGCAGGCAGCAAGCGACAGGCAACAGGGAAAAUAUGUGCAGGCGUAUGUGUGUAUCCAUGGUGCAGUUCAGCUGAUUGUGUUUAUGUCCCUUUCCUCCUCCUCCUGCUCUGUAUGUCCACAGGCAGCUCAAGGAUGUAAAGGAAGGGCUCAGAGCCACUUGAUUCCCUGCCACCACCCACUGUUGCCCCAGUAUUACCAGAGCGUGGAUGUCUGCCCCUGUCCCCCAGAGCCUUAGUCUUGCUCUUACCCACCCCUCUUCAACCACCACGCACCCACCAACCCAACCCACCCCACCCCCAGUCCCUCCACCUCCUUGCCUUGCUCCCUGAUUCAGUGUGUAAAAGCGCCCCCUGAAUGAUGGAUUACUGUGUCACCGCAGCCUGCGAAGGAUUAAUUUGUUUCAUUGAUUUCUCUUUAGGCAGAAUGCCAGCGUCUGCCGCUUCCCACCUUUUCCCCAAGACUCGCAGCUGUAAUAGACGGUAAUGGCCUAAGACAAAUCAACCCGUUUCUUGUAAAAAUAGCACCAAAUAACCCUCCCCAUCCUCCAGCCUGCACUCUACUCACGUUGUGGAGUGGUGGCGGUGGGGUAUCAGGGAGUGUUUGAUUCAUUCUCAUUCUCCAUCUCUAUCAGGCAAUCCGUCCAUACCACCGUCCCUCCUUAUCCUGUGCUGAGACAGAGGAGACCAUCCAGUCACUCUAACAAAGCCAUAAGUCUGCCGUACUUACAGCUCCCUCUCAGGCCUCACAAUGGAUGGGUAAUGACAGUGCUGUCUGGAGGGGGCUGUGGGAGUUGGGCCAUUCUCUCCAGUAAUGGAAGCAGUUACUGCCAUUCCCUAUACACCUGCAGGAACAGCUAACUGUUAACCACUGUGAUCUAUGGCAAGGCCUUACCGUACUACUCUAAGGUUGAAGGGUUGUACAGGCAUUGCUGAAUUAAGGCACGUCUGCACAACACAUGUUUUUUUCUGUCUUUGCCAUGGUGGAUGAAGUUUUUCUACUGUACGUUGAGAGCUAUGGAAAAGCAUUUGAGUUAUUGAUAAACAAAUCUGUAUCAAUGAAUCAGUGUUGGUGCAGCUCCAGCACUGCUGACUGACAAUCCAGCAUUCCUGACAUUCACUGAUUUAACGGUGACAUAAGAUGCUGCCACAUCUUUACUACCCUGUCACUGCCUUGAACGAUGGGAAACCCAAACUGCCUGUAACAUUAAGCACACCACUACAGGCUGACUGUCCUCGGACGCUUUCCAAUCCCACAGAGAUUUACGAGCGGAACCAGAUCCAUUAAUCCAUUGUUGAUUUGCUGUGGCUGCCCUACAGGGUUUUUGGGAUCAGAUAUCAUGCAGUGCUGAAACUCACCCCGUUGAGCAGCAAUGCAGACUGUAACACCCUGACUGGUGUUAAAAAUCCGGAACAAAGCAUUAGGACGUUAAAUCCAAGUCAGAAUGUUUCAAUUUAUGUCAUUAAGUUCAUGGCACAUUUGAAAUUCCUGCCAUCAGUCCUAUCUCUCACAACCUGGCAGAUAUAUAUACAUUUGACAGAAAACACUGUCACUUACAUUAAAAAUGAUGACAUAAACUGGAGUGACAAUCCAUAGAGGGUUCAAUAAGAGUGAGUUAGAGCGAGUGCACAAUGUGAUAAUGACCCAGGCUGCAGGGAAAUCUCAUCAGCUCCCUGCAAUCAAUUUAACAGUGUUUACAAAGCCAUGGGCUGAGGUUUGUGCUUGGGGACCGAGUAUUGUCACCUGGUGUUCCACUAGAUCCCCCUGCUGAGCUGGCCUCUCCUGGGUAAACCUCUACAAAGCCCCCUCAUGUCUGACACCACCAGGUCCUUCAAAUACUGCUCUCAGACAGAGGAUUAGGUAAUCUCACCAUGAUACUGUCUUUUUCUCUAUUUCUAUCUUUUUUUCCACCCCUAUUGUCACCCUUUCUCUACCCCUGCAUUCUCAUACCUUACAUCCUCCCUCCCUCCCUCUGUCUCUGGCCUGUUGAAGUGCUUGUUCUACUCAGGGAACAUCUAUCCUCAGGAGUCCUUACAUUCUUAAGUGCCGCCAGAAAAGGUUAGUUGGCAGGUAAUUGUCCAGCUGUGGUUGGGCUUAUCUUAAUUGUGGGUGUUUUAGUGCAAGCUACACUUCCUUUGAUGAAGAGAUUUACAGUAUCUAAAUGAAGGGAGAAGAUAGCAGGAUGGUACGAGAAAAGGGUUGACCAUUUUGAAGUGUAUUUGAGUUUUCUUUCAUGGGAUUUAAAAAUGUAAACCUUAUUUGGAUAUGAAAUAGUAUUAUUACUUUACACAUAUUUUUUGUCUUGAUUCUCCCUAAUUCCAAAUUGUCAUUUCAGUGCAUCACUGGAGAUGUUACAUCAUAGUUAAGUCACGCCAAUUUCUAUUUAUACACCGCCAAUUCAUAACAGAGAUUAUGUCAUGACACUUUUCAGAGCAGGUCAAGACCAUAUUUUUUAUUUUAUAACCAAUUCAAUAUGUGUUUUGCCUUGUGAUCCUAGACAUGCAUAGUGGAAAAAGCAAUGCUGACCUCAUGGUGUUAAAAUCCAAAUGACUAGGUCUUCUGCCACUCUAAAUCUAUACUUCCCUUAGCCAUCUGAUCAUAUAUAUAUAUAUGCACAUUGAUAGGAAGCUUUAGGGGGGUUAGUGUUUGCAUUGCCCCAGUCAAAGGUCAUGACUAACCAAUAAAAUAUAUCCAAAGAACCAUCAAUAACUCCGACAUGCAGACUAAUACAGUAUGGGAUUGUGGGUAGGGGGAGGAAGCCUGCUGUGCUUGCUCUGAGCAGAAUGGAUGAACAAGAGGCCAAAAGGUUACUGGACAGACUUCGGCCCCUUGCCCCUGCACCCUCUCAUAUGUGCAUUUGAUAGCGACAGAGGCAAUUAUGAAGGUAUACUUCAGACAGGUCAAAUGGGAGAGGGCAAAGUGCAGAAGCUCUAAAGCACUGGCCGGAGUCAAAGGUUAGGAUGGACAUAGCCCAUCAUAGCGUGCCGUUGGGAAAGGGGUAAUGGAAUCAGAGCUAUAAAGACACAGACUGAUGAGGAGGAGAAAAGAUCAUAUCUUCAUUCAUGUGAUAGUUUAACAGAGAAAAUUACAGAGAAUGUGACAAUAUAUGCUGUUUGGUUGGACUCCAGUAACUACUUGUUUUGUGUGUUUAAGUGGCGUGUGUGUUCAUAUACUGUAUAUUGUCUGACAAACCAUCAGGCUUCAUGGCUAUUAAAUAUGAAUAGUCCAAGGUCAGUGAAGGUCAUGGCAUGCAUUUAGCACCAGUGACCGAUGUCAAAUGUAAAGGUCAAAGUGGAAUUGCCUGAGUCGGAACAAUGCAACGUUUGCUCAUCCACAUUUAUGCAUCACAUUGGCAGUGAUUUAUGGAGGGAGAUAAGCGUAUGGAUGGGAAGAAAACACUCUCUUUCUCCUAUCCCGUCAGGCUCGGUAAAUACACCACUCACUCAGAUCAAUCACUAUGUCACAGUGAAUCGCCACUGUAUGCUUCCUGCUCAGAUUGAAAACUGCCUUUGUCUUACGCCGCCUUCUCCCUCCAGCUCUGGGGAACACACUAGUGGCAUUGUAGCUAUUUCACAAGCUCUAUAUUAGCAUUUCAAACAGCUAUGGUACAAAAGUUGUGAGUAUGUUCAAAGUCUACACUAUUGAUAGAUUACAUACUGUAGCAAUUAUACACUUUAGAAGUAAGGUCCUCAAUUGAUCGCAAAAAAACUGAGGAGAAAAUAAAAUGUUUUUUUAUAUUAAGUGACAAAAUCCUCUUUUUAGAUAUUGUGUUCGCCUACCUCUAUGUAUUUCUAGGCCUUGUAGAGAGUGAUGUUAUUCUCUUUUCCAUGCAUUUGGUUUGCGUAAGAAAAAUAGAAACCUCUACGCUGUUUUUCUACUUUCAUCAGAAUUCCAGGGCAUUUAAAAUAAUUCAAGUUGGAGCAGAUUUUAUGGUUAUAAAAAAACAUCACUGCUGAUUAAAUUUAAUGUCCCUUGCUCUGUCCUCUGCAGGACAACAUUCCUGUGCUGCAGCCAGACGGGCUGCUCAGCAUUGUGCCGGAGCAGCCGCUCAGGAGGGGUCUUGACUGGACCAGCUAUUAACUCAACAUCCUGGCUUUUAGCGUUUUGUAGGCCUCUUGAACAUGGAUAUGUUACCCAUGUCACUCUGGCUCCUUAAAUGUGAAAACCAGCCUGUCACUGGUGCACCACAGCCUUUGCAAACUACCCCCAAGUGGCUUAGAAUCCAGCCAGAGAAAAGUCCAAAAAGAAAACAUUCUUUUGAACUGCCGGCCAAAGCGGAAACAUGGUCUAGUAAGCUCCUUUUUAACUUGAACCAUAAAGAUCAAAUCCUUUCCUCCAAUAGUAAUACAUUUGCUCUUUUCCAUUAUUACACAUACUAUGUUUUUUCAUGUAAGAUCAAAGUGUGAUAAUGCGUGACACCAUAAGUACCAGUGUAUAUUACCUGACACUUUCUGCUUGGUUCUCCAUUAGUCUGUAUUUCAGCUUGCAGGCAACUUAAAUAUGACAAAAAAACCUUUAACACCAGAAAAACUGCGGUAGGCAAUGUAUGGAAUGUUUCUUCUCUGGAAAUCGUAUACAUUUCAUUGCAGCGACUGUAGAGGUCAGCUUUGAGGAUCAGAUUUUUACCAUUUUAAUACCAGCCAUGACAUUUCCCUACACUCUAACCAUUUCACCAUCUAUCUGUCCCACCCUCCCUGUGAGAACAACAGUACUGAAGGCAGUUUAUAUACAGGACAAGUUCUGUAUGAUCUGUCACAUUCAUCUCUAUUUCCCCCUUCACCACAGGGCAUUUGAACCACAUCAGAAUCUAUUACCACCAUGCAGAUUCAGCCCCUGCUGACAAUACAAAUCAUGAUAAGAUGGAGCAGUGACUCCAUAAACACCCUCACUUAUAUAUCACAUCAUAUGAGUUGGGCUGGAUAGCAGAUCCCACUUGUCUCCUCUAUGUGAUCGUAUAUUUAUAUGGAUGGACUAAAGAUGUCAUUACAUCUCUGUCUGUCUUUAACCUGUGCUUGUUACUACCCCAUUCAAACAAUAGAUAUAAAUUGUUCUGUGCGUGUAUGCGUUUGUGUUUAUCUGCAGGCGCAUCCAUCACUUGGCAGUAGGAGUUCCAAAUCAGCUGCUUGUGAGGAAAGAUUUAUGCUGUAAUGAAUCAAAUCAACAGACCUUUACAGUAAAAUAUGAUUUUAUCAAUAGGCCUGAUCAAUAGUGCAUGCAAGACACAGUGUAAUUAUUACAGAGGUCUGUAUCAAUAAAACUGUCACGCAUGACCUCCUGCCAAAGGCUAUGGAGCUGCGAGUCACAGACAGUCGAAGAAAGGUUUGUUUCACGGCCCUGAGAUGUUUGAUUACCUGUAUAUAAGGUCAUAUCUGUGAUGUACAGUAACUCAUCAGGACAUCCUGGAUCAGAUGAGAGUCAGGCAAGGAAAGUUUUUACAGCAGUGACAAACAACACAUUCAAACCUAAAUGUAUAUGAUGCAUUCUACUCACCAAAUAAUACUGUCUGUUUAAAUACAUGUGUACUGUCUUCAUUGCACCUCUUGCAGACAUUACAGAUUAUAACUGAUAGAGACACGGAUGGCUGUCUUUACUAGAGAGAGAAUCAUUUGUCCUGAAGCAAGGCAAUCCAAGAGUGGAAGAAAGACUGUCAAAAAGAGCUUUGUAUUACACUGUAGUGGGAGCACUCUGCAUUAACACACACACACACACACACUCACACACACACAUACAGUACGAGAGAGAGCGUGAGGCAGGGACCAAUGAGGCAGUUUAUAUCGGGAUUUUGUUUCACAGCCACGGCCUCCUGGGAGAGAGGGGUCUGCCAAUAACACUUAAGAGACAGAGCAGGAAAAGUAAGUGCUUUUAUUACAGCUCAUCACUCAUGUAAUUUCUGGCAGCAUUUGUGAUUACAGAUCAAGUGAUUGACUAACUACACAUUCGGCAGCUGAGUUAUGAACCGGGUGCCUUCCAUUUCAGCCCCGGCAGAUUCUCCGUGUCAGCUGUAACUCAUCCUCUCCCAGAGUGCUAAAUCAAAGAGCACACUGCAGACGGAAGAGUUAAAUAAUAACUUGAGCUUUAUUGUAAAUCUUUCAGAGAUUAAACCUGUGCGGACGUCGUCUUGGCCCUGAUGUUGUACUGCAUGGGGUGAAGAGGUGGUUGGAGGGGAUCAAUAGAGGGCCAGAUGGAGAUAUUGAUGGAUGACAGGUAAGGUGGGUGAGAAUGCGUGCGUGUGUUUGUGUACGGGUGUGUGAAUGUAAGGUGACGUGUGUGUGUGUGUGUGUGUGUGUGUGUGUGUGUGAGGGGUGGGAUUGAAUCACCCUGGGUUAGGUUAGGUAGAGAGCACAGCUCAGGGUGUUUAAUCGACAGGUCUCACCUUGAAUCGAUUAGCAGGAGUCUCACAGGGCAAAGACGUGAUACACACAACCAACACUUUCUCACACACACCAAAACAACAAUAGGGUGUCGGCAACAAUAGGGUGGGCUGAUGGAAGAUGUCUCAAUGGCAUCAGAAUUGCAUGCCUGUAUGUAGUCAGUGUUUAGUUUGGUAAUGCAAAAGCUAAUCUAAGCGUCAGUUUAAAAGCAUUUUUGUUUUUUAAAUCAUCUCUUUUUGAGCAGGAAUUCAAAACCCUUUAAAAUACCUUUGUUUCAGUUCCCAUAUCAACAUGAGUAUCCUUUUUUUACCUUUGAACACUGGGAUCAGGGUAACAAAUAGCUUUGAGGUCCAGAUAUACUAAUGUCAAAGUGUAAUGAUGACUGUGACGAAAGCAAACAUGAUUCAUAACGAUAACCAUUUAUUACAACAUUACUAAUACUAAUAUUACUUAGAAAAAAGUUUACUUAUAUUUUACUAUAUUUGUAAAUGAUGUGUCUAACCCAACAGCGCCAACAUGUUACAUGCCAAGUUAUUUAAAAAAAGGUAAUUUUUGUUAUUAUCAGAAAAAGACUAGAAUUACUGCUGAGUGGUUAUAUGCCUCAGAGCUAGUAAAGUUAAAAUUUACAUCCAUGUCUGUUAAAAACUUCAUUAUUUUAUCUUAUUAGACAUUUGUGAUAAUUGUCAUAAUUAGCAUAUGAAUACUUGUGGCAAAAUACGUGUUUUGUGCCACAGUAACUUUUGACCACCAAAUUCAACUCAGUUCAACCUUGAGCCCAUGUCGAAGCUUUUGCCAAAUUUAAAGACAUGUCCUCAAGGCUUUCCUGAGAUAAUUUUGUUUCUUUGCAACAGUACAGACGUGCGGUCACAAUGACCUUAACCCAUGACCACCAAAAUCUAAUCAGUUCAUCCUUAUGUCCAAGUGGACCUUUGUGCCGAAUUCUAAGAAUGUGCCUGCAAGCAUUUCCGAGAUAUCACGUGCAUGAGAAUGGGACGUUCGUAGGUAAGGACGGAAAGAUGGACAUACGUAAAUAUGGACAACCCAAACACAUAAUGCAUCCGGCCAUCGGCCUUCGCUGGCACGGAAGCAUAAAAAAGUGAGUCACAGUAUUGUAUGUCAUAAAAAUGCCAUAAAAAGUCAUAACCCACUAUAUCCUAAUUAAAAAAAAACCCUCAAAAUAUAAUGUGUCAUGAAUAGUAUUAGUUGUAGUUAUUGUUGUAAGUUUUACAUUUAUUUGAUGAUUGUUGCUGUAGCAGUUGUUGUAGUGUAUGUGAAUAUGAUGUAUAUUCUUAUGUCAACCCGCUCUUUUUUUCUCCACAGAUGACUUCAGAGUUCUGGAUCGAAACAGAGUUUUUUUUUACUUUCUACACUUUGUCCUACAUUUAUAAUCCCAUAUUGAUGACAGUAUAACAUGUUGAAAAAAUGAUUAGUGGUGUAUGACAAAAAAGUAAUGAAAAAGCCACAGUAGCGUAUGUCUAUAAAAAUCAUAAAAGGUUGUGGUAGAGUAUUUCUUUUAAAAAGUCAUAAAAUGUAAAAAUAUAGU